CAAUAGCGUAUAUUUAAGUUGCUGCAGUUAAAAAGCUCGUAGUUGGAUUUCGGGUGGGAAUGGCCGGUCCGCCGUUUCGGUGUGCACUUGCUACGCCCACCUUGCUGCCGGGGACGUGCUCUUGAGUUCACGCUCGGGACACGGAGUCGGCGAGGUUACUUUGAGUAAAUUAGAGUGUUCAAAGCAGGACUACGCUCUGAAUACAUUAGCAUGGAAUAACACGAUAGGACUCUGGCCUAUCUUGUUGGUCUGUAGGACCGGAGUAAUGAUUAAGAGGGACAGUCGGGGGCAUUCGUAUUUCAUUGUCAGAGGUGAAAUUCUUGGAUUUAUGAAAGACGAACUACUGCGAAAGCAUUUGCCAAGGAUGUUUUCAUUAA
rnacentral:rRNA from 1 species